AAAAGAACUCUGAAGAGAGGGUGCAAAAGCGCGUGAAACCGCCCAGGGGUAAACUGGCUGAGCCGAGCGACGUGUCCCGCCGGGGCGGCUGGUCGCCCGUGCUUCGACUUGGGGCCACCCGUCCGUACCGCUCGCGGUGCGGUUGCGGAGGCAUUCCGGUAUAAAAGCUCGGGCGCGUGUCCAACCCCGGCGGGUCUCCGCCGUCACCGGCACCGGGCUGUCUCGUCGCCGCGCUCUCCUCGGGCCGCCGGUUCCGAGGGGCGUGAGCGCGGGUCACUUUGCACGAGAGCAGUCGCGGGUGCCGUGGUCGACCGCGGGAGAGUCGGCGGCCGUUGGCGUUUCUCCGGCUUCUCGAUCCCGUUUCCCUCGCCUUUCCCUCUCGGGGGAGAGUGCGGUGGGGCGGGUCGGUGGUCGGGCGCGGACGGCCCCGUCCCGCCGAAAGGUGUACGGCGUUAUUUCCGGUACCUGCCCGACCCGUCUUGAAACACGGACCAAGGAGUCCGACGCCUGUGCGAGCCGCAGGGUUUCCACUAAACCCCACGGCGAAGUGAAAGCGAGAGGUCUCUUUAACGAGCCGAGGGCGGGAUCUCCCGGUGCGAGCCCCAUCCGGGCUCGUCGGGAGCGCACCGCCGGCCCGGCAGCCGCCGCGUCGACGGCCCUGUCGGAGCAUGAGUGCAGGCGUCGGGACCCGAUAGAUGGUGAUCUACGCCUGAGCAGAGCGAAGCCGGGGGAAACUCUGGUGGAGGCUCGAAGCGACUCUGACGUGCAAAUCGACCGCCCGACUUGGGCGUAGGGGCGAAAGACCAAUCGAACCAUCUAGUAGCUGGUUCCCUC
rnacentral:rRNA from 1 species